rnacentral:rRNA from 1 species
AGAGUUUGAUCAUGGCUCAGGAUGAACGCUGGCGGCAUGCCUAAUACAUGCAAGUCGAACGAACGGACUUAAAAAGCUUGCUUUUUAAAGAAGUUAGUGGCGAACGGGUGAGUAAUACAUAAGCAACCUGCCUAUAUGACUGGGAUAACUAUGAGAAAUUAUAGCUAAUACCGGAUAGGUUAAUCGAUGGCAUCAUUGAUUAAUUAAAGUUGGGGUACAACACAAAUAGAUGGGCUUAUGGCGUAUUAGUUAGUUGGUGGGGUAAUGGCCUACCAAGACGAUGAUACGUAGCCGGCCUGAGAGGGUGAACGGCCACGUUGGGACUGAGACACGGCCCAAACUCCUACGGGAGGCAGCAGUAGGGAAUUUUCGGCAAUGGGGAAACCCUGACCGAGCAACGCCGCGUGAGUGAAGACGGCCUUCGGGUUGUAAAGCUCUGUUGUAAAGGAAGAAUAGUAUAAAGAGGGAAUGCUUUAUAUGUGACGGUACUUUACCAGAAAGUCACGGCUAACUACGUGCCAGCAGCCGCGGUAAUACGUAGGUGACAAGCGUUAUCCGGAAUUAUUGGGCGUAAAGGGUGCGCAGGCGGUUUGUUAAGUUUAAGGUGAAAGCGUUGAGCUCAACUCAAUACAGCCUUAGAAACUGACAGACUAGAGUGCAGAAGGGGGUUGUGGAAUUCCAUGUGUAGCGGUAAAAUGCGUAGAUAUAUGGAGGAACACCAGUGGCGAAGGCGACAACCUGGUCUGUAACUGACGCUCAUGCACGAAAGCGUGGGGAGCAAAUAGGAUUAGAUACCCUAGUAGUCCACGCCGUAAACGAUGAAUACUAGGUGUUGGGGAAACUCAGUGCCGCAGUUAACGCAAUAAGUAUUCCGCCUGGGGAGUAUGCACGCAAGUGUGAAACUCAAAUGAAUUGACGGGGGCCCGCACAAGCGGUGGAGUAUGUGGUUUAAUUCGAAGCAACGCGAAGAACCUUACCAGGUCUUGACAUCCCUUGCAAAGCUAUAGAGAUAUAGUGGAGGAUAUCAAGGUGACAGGUGGUGCAUGGUUGUCGUCAGUUCGUGUCGUGAGAUGUUGGGUUAAGUCCCGCAACGAACGCAACCUCUGUGUCUAGUUACCAUCAUUAAGUUAGGGACUCUAGACAGACUGCCGGUGAUAAACCGGAGGAAGGUGGAGAUGACGUCAAAUCAUCAUGCCCCUUAUGACCUGGGCUACACACGUACUACAAUGGCGUGAACAACGAGCAGCAAGCUAGUGAUAGCAAGCGAAUCUCUGAAAACACGUCUCAGUUCGGAUUGAAGUCUGCAAUUCGACUUCAUGAAGUUGGAAUCGCUAGUAAUCGCGGAUCAGAAUGCCGCGGUGAAUACGUUCUCGGGCCUUGUACACACCGCCCGUCAAACCACGAAAGUUGACAAUACCCAAAGCCGGUGGUCUAACCGUAAGGAGGAAGCCGUCUAAGGUAGGGUUGAUGAUUGGGGUUAAGUCGUAACAAGGUA